UCUAGCGUAUUUUGGAUGUUC
rnacentral:siRNA from 1 species